rnacentral:rRNA from 1 species
GUUGUAACAAGGUUUCCGUAGGUGAACCUGCGGAAGGAUCAUUG